AGCGAACGCUGGCGGCAGGCUUAACACAUGCAAGUCGAACGCCCGUAGCAAUACGGGAGUGGCAGACGGGUGAGUAACGCGUGGGAACAUGCCCUUUGGUUCGGAAUAACUCAGGGAAACUUGAGCUAAUACCGGAUAAGCCCGAGAGGGGAAAGAUUUAUCGCCGAAGGAUUGGCCCGCGUCCGAUUAGCUAGUUGGUGAGGUAAUGGCUCACCAAGGCGACGAUCGGUAGCUGGUCUGAGAGGAUGAUCAGCCACACUGGGACUGAGACACGGCCCAGACUCCUACGGGAGGCAGCAGUGGGGAAUAUUGGACAAUGGGGGCAACCCUGAUCCAGCCAUGCCGCGUGAGUGAUGAAGGCCCUAGGGUUGUAAAGCUCUUUCGGCGGGGACGAUAAUGACGGUACCCGCAGAAGAAGCCCCGGCUAACUUCGUGCCAGCCGCCGCCGUAAAAC
rnacentral:rRNA from 1 species